CACUAACCGUGCGAACGUUAUUCGGAAUCACUGGGCUUAAAGCGUGCGUAGGCGGCCUGGAAGGUGGGGUGUGAAAGCCCUCGGCUCAACCGAGGAAUUGCGCCCCAAACCACUUGGCUUGAGGGAGACAGAGGUGAGCGGAACUCACGGUGGAGCGGUGAAAUGCGUUGAUAUCGUGAGGAACACCGGUGGCGAAAGCGGCUCACUGGGUCUCUUCUGACGCUGAGGCACGAAAGCUAGGGGAGCGAACAGG
rnacentral:misc_RNA from 1 species